rnacentral:tRNA from 2 species
GGCAAAUAGUGGCAAGCUAUGUCAAUGAUACAUAAAGCAAACCAUUGAUUUUCGGUUGUUCAGACAGGAACUCAUAAUCGCUUGGUCGUUGGUUCAAACCCAACAGGGGCCACCA